UACCAGGGAGGAUCAGGCCACUGAGAUUUCCUCCUCCUGCUGGAGACUGGGAAUGAAGGAAGCAGCAAGACCCAACACCACCUCCUAGGAUCCUGCAAACUGCUCUUAACUGGAUGCAAAUUCUGCCUCAAUCUGCCUCAAUUCUGGUUUAAUUACAGCCCUAAAUGCUGGCCUUGCUUCAAAGGAGCUCUCCAAAGAGCUGGGCUGAGUUCUGAGUGUCCCACCUCGCAGAGCAUCCCCACAAAGGAUGAAGGAUUUAUGGGUCUGGAUCUCACCCAAACCAAAUUUGGAAAGCAUCGCUGAAAUUUGCUUUGAACCCUGCAUUUCAUGUAGACCUGUUGAAAAUCCAGGAUUUUACUUUGAUGCAGAAUUGAGCAAGAGCCAAUUGAAAAUGAGAAGUUGUGUGGCAUGAACAUUGUAGUUGUUGAUGAAUGAAAACUUCGGUGGGUGCAAAUCAUUCUUUACAAGCUUUUCCAAAUGUCUUGAUAAAGUUGAUGCCAAACUUGGUUUCUGCAUGGUGGCACAGCUGGAUCAGCUCCCAGGGGAUUAUCAGGAAAGAAACUGCAGUGGGAGACAUUUUAAGGAGUAAAAGGCAAUCCCAGAGCUGGAUUACUCCUCAUCCUCCACACCAACAUCACUGCAGGACCUGCUCUGAGCAAGGCUCUGGGAAAUCCAGACUGCUCACCAUGGUGCAGAGGUGACCUCCUCCUGAAAGCAAACAGAGCAAGGAUCCCAUUAAAAUGGAAUCCCACUGAAACGGAAUCCCACCAAAUCCUGGAGGUGUGCUUUCCUUGGCUGCAGCAUGGGCAGCCCGCCCUGCGCUUGGGAAAUUGUUACAGGAGCAAUUUUGGCUGCUGUGAAUUGCACUGGAAAUGUCUUCUCUGGUCUGGCACUUAAUAUGAUGGGCCCACAGACCCACCUCUAAACUCAAGUCAGUCAUUCCCUGCAAUUAUUCAGGAAAAACCCCACUGUUACCACAGAAAUCAGGUGAACUAAUGUCAGUUCUGACUUCUUCUGUGCUCUGGAUGUCCAUUAAGGCCACUAAUGACAUAAACUACUUUUAUGCUAGUAUGUAUAUAAAUAGUGUCCCUAAUUUCUGUUUUCUCUAAGAAAUCUGUACAUUAAUUGCUGCUAAAUAUAAAUAUCCCCUUAAAUAAAUUCAUAACUGGUGGACAGAGAACAUUUUUCAGUUUCCUACAAAAGAAAGGACAAUUGUAAUGACAAUGGACAAUCAUUGGUCACCCUUUCUCUUUAUGCAUUUUAGUGGGGAAAAAGAUGUACAAAGUUAAAUAGUCUUCUAUAGCUAUUGAAAGAAUUGUUAAAAACCAAAAUAUGAACUAAAUGAAUAAAAUCCAUAUUGCAACUUGUCAAGUCACUGCAUCCACAGAAAAAUUAAUAAGAGAGGAGAGGA